UACGAAGGGGGCGAGCGUUGUUCGGAUUUACUGGGCGUAAAGGGCGCGCAGGCGGCUCAUUUUGUCAGGCGUGAAAGCCCCGGGCUUAACCGGGGAACUGCGUCCGAUACUGGAUGACUUGAGUUCGGGAGAGGGAUGCGGAAUUCCAGGUGUAGCGGUGAAAUGCGUAGAUAUCUGGAGGAACACCGGUGGCGAAGGCGGCAUCCUGGACCGACACUGACGCUGAGGAGCGAAGGCCAGGGAGCAAACGGG
rnacentral:rRNA from 1 species